rnacentral:rRNA from 1 species
GUCUACAGCCAUACCACCCUGAACACACCAGAUCUUGUUUGAUCUCAGAAGUUAAACAGGGUCAGGCCCGAUUAGUACUUGGAUGGGAGAAAGUUGAGCUUGCAAAACAUGGUAUUGUGGCCC